GUUAUCACAUAUACUUUCAACUUCAUGCUACAAUGGAAUGCAUCAGGAAUGUUCUUCAUCUUUUCAAUGGUCUCCGCAUUUUCGAUUGUAUUUAUAUACUUUUUAGUACCGGAGACGAAAGGCCGAUCACUUGAAGAAAUACAAGCAUUGUUCUCCAACUCUGUACAAUGAUUCAUACAAAUCAAUUAUUGUAAUUGAAAAAUCGAUUAUUAUGAUUGGUGUGGGUUUACAUGAGAUUUGUGUAUGGAUUUAAUUUUAUAUGGGAAAAUGACAACAAUAAAUUUGUAUUUUUCGUGUCUGAAAAGAAGCUGUAUGGUUUUAGUUACGUAUGCAUCAAAAUAUAUAGUUCUGUGUGAUAUUGUAAACUAUAAAUUAAAUAAAAAUG